GAGGCGGACGCACUUGGAACCCGAGCAGUUGGCCGCGUCCCUCGCAAAUCCAGUGUGGCCCGUCAAAGACGUCUUGUGGACGCUGUUGCUGGCGGUCGGCAUCGUCGUAGUCGUUAUGUGGCUCUUAAGGCUGUUUCUGGGCCUCUGUGUGGACGCGUUCGGACUGAAAUCAACCGGAGUAGCCCCACACUCCCCAGCAAGCCUCAUUGUUGCUAACCGAGGGGCAGUUCCGGCAUACAUGGCCACGCUGUUAAACUGGCAAGCUAACGGGUGGCCGCUCCAAGCGCACGGCUGCAACAUGGUGCAUCGGCGUCAUCAUAGCUUGCCGUUGGUGCUUCUGAUCAUGCCAGCGCUGUUGACUUCGAGACAAAAUCGCAUAGAACACGGUCGAUGUUUUAUACGAGUGUGUCUUUGUAUGUGGGUAUCUUUUACCAUAUACCGAUGUAAAUAGGGCCAUUUAUGGCGGGUCUGGUCCACUUAUUUAUUUAUUUAUUUAUUUAUUUAUUUAUUUAUUUAUUUAUUUAUUUAUUCAUUUAUUUACUUAUUUAUUUGAAAUACCCUUAAGGUACAUACCGUACAUUAUAGAGGGGAGGGGCAAGAACACUUACUUGUAACAAGGAGCAAAAUGGGAAAGGGAAAAAAACGCAUAACAAUCAAGUGAGUACAGUACCAAUGUGCAAU
rnacentral:lncRNA from 1 species